rnacentral:rRNA from 1 species
UACGUAGGGUGCGAGCGUUGUCCGGAAUAUUGGGCGUAAAGAGCUUGUAGGUGGUUUGUCGCGUCUGCUGUGAAAAUCCGAGGCUCAACCUCGGACUUGCAGUGGGUACGGGCAGACUAGAGUGUGGUAGGGGAGACUGGAAUUCCUGGUGUAGCGGUGGAAUGCGCAGAUAUCAGGAGGAACACCGAUGGCGAAGGCAGGUCUCUGGG